CUACUUUCCAAGUGGUUCUAGUCUCCAGUGUGCAUAGCUCUUUCGUCCUGCUGAACUAUGGAAACAUUUCAGAAACGGAACAAAUUUGGCAGGCUGGUUACAGCACAGUGGAUUCUGUCAGUUCUUUUACAAGUCCAGCAGCCAGUGCCCCACAGCUCUCUUCUAUCAGCAAUAUUAAUGUGAAUGGCAGCUGCUCUUUUUAUGUUGAUGGCUCACCGAACUUACCAACUAAUUUCCUACCUCCUGUGGAUGAAGACAUAGUGAAUCCCCCUGCUGAAGAUGGAAGCUCUGGUGUCAUUUUCUUGCAGCAGCCUUUCAAAUACUUUGGACGCACAUACAAUCAGAUCGCCG